rnacentral:rRNA from 1 species
UACAGAGGGGCAAGCGUUGUUCGGAAUUACUGGGCGUAAAGGCGCGUAGGCGGCCUUCUAAGUCGAACGUGAAAUCCCCGGGCUCAACCCGGGAACUGCGUCCGAUACUGAAAGGCUUGAAUCCGGGAGAGGGAUGUGGAAUUCCAGGUGUAGCGGUGAAAUGCGUAGAUAUCUGGAGGAACACCGAUGGCGAAGGCAGCCUCCUGGGCCAAUACUGACGCUCAUGCACGAAAGCGUGGGGAGCAAACAGG